rnacentral:lncRNA from 1 species
GGUUGAGUUCUGAAGGGCAGAGGCCUGUGGUAAACUAUGCCAUUGUGUUGACUAUGAAUCCUCAAGGAGAUUGAUAAAUGAUCACAGUGUAUGAUUGUAUGAAAGUCUGCAUCUUUGCAUUUGCUUGGCACAGACCGAGUGCUUGCACAUGGGUACUGGGUCAGAUGUGUUGUCUUUCCAGUCUUCCUUCCUGGGAUUCCAGAAGAAUAGUCCUUGCAUCCUUUCUCACUGCUGUAGAGAUCUGAAUGAAGGCCGACGCUGCGCUUCCUAGGGACGGGGAGUUCUAAUUCCUCUCACCUCACCUGCAUUAUCAGGGCAUAUGCUCUUCCACAUCUGACUUUAACCAAACUUGAGUAAGAACUCCCUGACUUGGAAACACUCAAGUUUCCCACACAUGACUGGAUGGCCCUGGCCACACUGGGAACGGAAUGGGGGCCUCCCAUUGGAACUCAGGGUGGAGGGGGAAGCUCGACCAGCUAUUGUGGCCCCCACUUCCAUUGACAAAAAAGAAAACCUGCAGAUUCCAUUGAUCUGGCAUGGAGCUGGAUGUCUUUCAGGAUGAAGAGUUUUCAUUAAAACACAGCCACAACAAAGCAAGAAAAAAGAGCAAUUGAUGUAAGCAUGCCAGUCAGGUUCACAUGUUAAGAAACAGAAUAA